AGUGAACGCUGGCGGUAUGCCUAACACAUGCAAGUCGAACGGCAGCACAGUAAGCUCUUGCUCUUACGGGUGGCGAGUGGCGGACGGGUGAGGAAUACAUCGGAAUCUACUUUUUCGUGGGGGAUAACGUAGGGAAACUUACGCUAAUACCGCAUACGACCUACGGCUGAAAGCAGGGGAUCUUCGGACCUUGCGCGACUGAAUGAGCCGGUGUCGGAUUAGCUAGUUGGCUGGGUAAAGGCCCACCAAGGCGACGAUCCGUAGCUGGUCUGAGAGGAUGAUCGGCCACACUGGAACUGAGACACGGUCCAGACUCCUACGGGAGGCAGCAGUGGGGAAUAUUGGACAAUGGGCGAAAGCCUGACGCAGCAACACCGCGUGAGUGAAGAAGGCCUUCGGGUUGUAAAGCUCUUUUGUUAGGAAAGAACAUCAGCAUGUUAAACCCUCCAUGUUCUGACGGUACCUAAACAGUAAGCAACGGCUAACUUCGUG
rnacentral:rRNA from 1 species